CAAGUGUGACUGACAUGCCCUUCU
rnacentral:siRNA from 1 species